rnacentral:lncRNA from 1 species
CACUCUUUCUCGCUAACUUUAUAAUUAUCUAAUUAUGCAACUCUUGCAAAACAUACUCCUAUAUAUAGAAAGUCAUGAACUGUUGAGACCGCCAACCAUAUCCCUUAAUCAGUCUAUUAAGAGCUUCAUCUCCUUCGAUUACUCUCUACACCCAUGGUUUAUUAGCAUCAAUAAGCACCUUUGAACACCCACCUGCUGAUCAUGAACAAGGACCACACCAGCUAAUAGAGACAGAUCUGUUCUUUCACCCUUUGAAGUUUGAAUGCAUCCACAUGCUUAUAUAAAUAAGUAACCCUCAUCUCCUCCUCAGUUGAGGCAUGAAUCUGAAAUGAUAUCUUUUAGAAUGUGCUGUUUUUCUCUCUCAGCCGCCUCCUUCUUUCAUAGUUCUUCUUCGUGCUCAUCCUCUCCAAUCUCCAUCUUCUUCUACUACUGGUUUUGGAUUUGAAAUCCAAAAUCCCCACUUCCCAAAACUUCAAGAAACCAAUAAGCUAGUCAGAACCUUCAGCUGUUUCUCAACAGAACACCAAUAGGGUCCUGUAAAUUUCAAAUCUUUACGUGGAAAUCUGGAAAAACCGGGACGGAUCUGCAUUUUCUCUCUCGUUUUCUGCAUGCAAGUAGGUGUGAUUUAUGACUGAAAACCCGGGCAUAAGAUUAAGUUAGGAUCACAAGUUAAGUUAAGAAUGAGGGUUCUGUGUUCAUGGUAUGGAACUGCUUCAGGCGCUGCAUUCACUGCUCUUUAUCUCUCCAACCAAGCAGGACCUCAAAAGUUCACCUAUGCAGUCACUUCUAUUUAUCAACUCCACUUGCAAUUCAUGAAGGUACAGUUAUAGUCUGUUUGACUAUUAUUAUUUUUCUAUCUUUGUUUCAUUCUAGUUUAAUUUGUUUGAUUUUUAACCUCGAAUUAUAAAUGUGCUUCAACUCUAGGGCUUGAUGUUGACCAGCUGGAUGACAUGAGAACAAGAGGUAAAUUCAGAUGUAACCUUAAUGUGUCAUGAUAGUUCCAGUUUGCGAAUGAGAUCUUGCAUGUGUUAUAAUAUCCAGACCAAAAUAAAUAAAAUAAUAAUGAAAGGUUUCAUGAGUUACAUGAGUUACACAAACGUUACAUGAGUUACACAAAGAACAUGGAUGGUUUUAGAGUUAUAGUCAAGGCAUGAGUUACAGGAAAAUUCAUGAAGUACCAUUUAUUGGGAGAGCACUAAUGAGAGGUCUAGAUGAUUCCUCCUUAGCCUAUAAAAGGAGAGUCGUUUGCUCAUUCCAUGCAUCUCAUCCAUCUCAAACAUCCAUCUUCCAAAUAGAUAAGAGUGUCCACUCCAAGUUGAGAGUGUAAAGUAGUUGGUAGCAAAACAAGUGUGAGAGAGGGUUUCUUUCAAGUAGUGUUCUUAAAGUUGUGUAUCUCGUGUACCCAUUAUUUCAUAGUGGAAGUUCUUGUUAUUGCUGCCCCGUGGACGUAGGCACAUUGCCGAACCACGUUAUAUCUGAUGUUCUCUUUCCUCUAUCUUUUACAUCUUUGCAUAUUUAUCAUUUGUGUGGUUUGAGUUGUUACUUCCAUUAUAUUAUUUUUCUCAACAGCAUGUCUGUAAAUGUCUGUUUGAGUUAGGGACUUCUGUUGAGUUAGGGACUUCUCUGUAUGUUAACUUCACUUAUUAGUGGAAAACUAACAGUUCUAGGUCGAAGUUUUAUCCUUUUGAGGAUUAGGGAUCGCUACGUACCUUGGCAAGACACCCUACUUUGUCAAGUAUAUAUAGAAUGCAUGGUUUUUCAUCUUUCCAUAAGCUAUAGGAUCGCUACCUUCACAUUGUUUUGAGUAAACUCGUUUCUAGUGGUCAACGCUUUCCCAUAAAGAGUUGCUCAACUUGGUUAACUUUAUCAUUCCAUUGUUCCUUGCAAUUGCCACCAGGUUGGCAGCAUAACGAUUCAUGUCAGCAAUGUCAACAGUCAUUCAUUUUCUUUUUUCCGGCAAGAACAGCAUCAUCACCGGUGAUUAUCCUCAAAAGAGGAAAAUCACACUAUGUAGUAUAGCCUUAGGAACAAGAACCAGUAGAAUAUUUCAUUGUAACUACUGUUGAUAUCGGUACUUUUUUUUUUUGAUCAAAUGAAAUAUCAUUCAUACAGAAGAUGUUACAAGCGGUAUGAAUAAUACAAGCAAGGCCGCUAACGGACCACUUAUAACAAAUCUCAAACCGAAAGGCCCGAAAAAUUACUUCCUAAAAGAGCUACCAAAUCCCUAGUACACCAUGAGACAAGAAAAUGAUCAUCAAGCUAGACCAGAAGACUCGUUCGACAAACUGCCAACAUAGUUGGUAAGAAAGCGUCGGCAUCCCCAAUGGGUAGCGGCUCUAACCCCAUGUAGGACAACAACUUGAGUCAACUCUGCCUCCUGAUUAGUGAAUACAAGUGAUAAUUACGGGUGUAAACCAUCAUCACUAUAUCAGCGGUGCAUUGUAAUCAGCCCAAGCACGACCAUAAAGGAUCAAAAUUAUUCAAACACAGCUAAACAAAACAAGCAAAUAAACAAGAGAUGCAGAAAACCUCAUGGGUCAACGAGACUAGACCCAAAGCUGGAAAGGCCCAAAAGCCCCAUCCGAGGCCCAGUCCAAGCCAGCCUUAGCCCAAACCCAAGAGCACCCCAACUUCUCUGCUACCAUCAGUAACCCCUAAAGCCGCCCCUUAGCACCUCCGCCAUACUAUCGUCAGUUGAUAACCGAGGCCAGCACCCACCGGCCUACCUCGUUGCCGCCGUCAAAGCAUCAUUUUUUAGAUCCGCAGCCCACCUCACCUUACUUCAAACCAACCCCUGGGACAUUUCACCAAAUACACUGAUGAGGAUCUGAUUUGACAUCUGAUCACCAUAGAUCCUUACCACAAUCAGCUACAUGCGCCCAGACUAGCCCGAUCUGAACAAGAGGACACCAGAUUGGGGCACACAACUCCCAACAUCUACCUCUCCACCAACACUGCACCCAGAUCUCCCUUCCUUCCCGGCCGAAACGGAUCUGCAACUGACACUUCCACUUACCUCUUAGCCAAACCAGACACCAACCCAAGAUGGUAGAUUGAGGCUAGGGCAGACAAAAGCAUCUGCACCCCAUCCGAACCCUCUCCCAGCCGAGACACAGAGGCAGGAACGCCGGUAGCGUUCGACUAGGAGAGGAGCAGCUCUCUCUGGCUUUUUCUUUUUUCUGGGUGCGUUCUAGGCUCAUGGAAGAAAAAACUCAAUUAUCUCCCUUUUGAGGCACUUGAUAUCGGUACUAAUUUGUUUUAACUACUUAAUAUCCUAGUGACUAACAUUACCUUAUCGUUCAUUUAGUUAUGUUCCUAAUUACUACACAUUAUUGUUUUAAUCAUUCAGAUCUUUAACGUCUCAAACAAAGCAGAGAUUCCAUCUAGUGGUAAGAGGAAGAAGAAGAAAGGAAC